rnacentral:rRNA from 1 species
UACGAAGGGGGUGAGCGUUGUUCGGAUUUACUGGGCGUAAAGAGCGUGUAGGCGGCCAGGUAGGUCAGCUGUGAAAACUCGAGGCUCAACCUCGAGACGUCGGUUGAAACCACCUGGCUAGAGUCCGGAAGAGGAGAGUGGAAUUCCUGGUGUAGCGGUGAAAUGCGCAGAUAUCAGGAAGAACACCCGUGGCGAAGGCGGCUCUCUGGGACGGUACUGACGCUGAGACGCGAAAGCGUGGGGAGCGAACAGG